GGGCUCGUGGUCUAGCCGGUUAUGACGUCGCUCUCACACAGCGGAGGUCCUGAGUUCGAAUCUCAGCGGGCCCA
rfam:Candidatus Methanoperedens sp. DS-2015 MPEBLZ_contig000306, whole genome shotgun sequence.